UCUCCGUUGGUGAACCAGCGGAGGGAUCAUUACAGAGUCGUAAAACACUCCCAAACCCAUGUGAACUUACCAUUGUUGCCUCGGCGGGCUACCCUGUAGACCGCCGGUGGACCAUUAAACUCUGUUACUUUUAAGCAAUCUGAGUCUUUUAUAAAAUAAAGUCAAAACUUUCAACAACGGAUCUCUUGGUUCUGGCAUCGAUGAAGAACGCAGC
rnacentral:misc_RNA from 1 species